rnacentral:rRNA from 1 species
AGAGUUUGAUCAUGGCUCAGAUUGAACGCUGGCGGCAUGCCUUACACAUGCAAGUCGAACGGCAGCACGGGGGCAACCCUGGUGGCGAGUGGCGAACGGGUGAGUAAUGCAUCGGAACGUGUCCUAUCGUGGGGGAUAACCAGUCGAAAGACUGGCUAAUACCGCAUGCGAUCGAGAGAUGAAAGCGGGGGACCCGCAAGGGCCUCGCGCGACGGGAGCGGCCGAUGCCGGAUUAGCUAGUUGGUGGGGUAAUGGCCCACCAAGGCUACGAUCCGUAGCUGGUUUGAGAGAACGACCAGCCACACUGGGACUGAGACACGGCCCAGACUCCUACGGGAGGCAGCAGUGGGGAAUUUUGGACAAUGGGCGCAAGCCUGAUCCAGCCAUGCCGCGUGUGUGAAGAAGGCCUUCGGGUUGUAAAGCACUUUCGGACGGAACGAAAUCGCGCGGAUGAAUAAUCCGCGUGGCUGACGGUACCGUAAGAAGAAGC